GGGGCUGGUUCCUCGGGCCGGCCCGGCGUGUUGGGCCCCGCGGUGUCCAUGGUGACUGCCGCCCCCGGCCAGCGCUGGCUCUCGGGGUGCGGGGCCAGCAGACAUGUACGACCGCGCUCCGCGGGCGCUGACUCGGCCCGCGGGGGGCACCGAGGCUCAUGUGGGGCCCGGCUCCUAUCAGCUGCAGCCCGGGAAACAGCAGAAAGCAGAUGGCUAUGCUCCAUUUCUUUCUUUGACAACUCGAGACUUUGCCUUUACUUUUCCAAACGCUGAGGUUGAUGUUCCAGGACCAGGACACUAUGAUAUUGCCAAAGUACAGAAUAAUAUAAAAGGUGGUGAGAGUCCGCAGAACAAAGAAAAACGUUUCAAAGAGAUCCGUACAGAAACUCCAGGACCGGGAAGCUAUAACCAACCUCCUGCUGUGGAGUUAGAGAUUAAUAACAGGAAGGAGAGAGAGCCUAAAGAACAUCUUCAACAGAGGACUGCUGGCAGUAUAAAAGUCUACCGAAAAGUGGAUGGUCCCUCUAUCCCUUCUCCUGGCCAAGCAUUUGGGUAUGAAGAAGCUGAAGAUGGCACUCUUAUUAAACAAUACCCACCUCAAAGAGAUGUGACAUUGGGUCCAGCAUACUAUCGACCAGUAAUUGGUGCUAUCAGCAGCAUCCUAAUCACUGACAUUGCUUCAGCCUGGAGAAGGCAGCAGGCCCAGCUGAGGACAAUUAUACACUUUCUGUAUGGGGAGUGUGAGAACCUGGGUGACCAUCACUGGGCUAACAAGAAUGGUACUUAUUCUGCCAUGAAGUAUAAAGGAGUACAUUUUGGUAAUUUAACAGGAAAACGUAGUGAAUUUAAGGCUCAAGCAGGGCCUGGACCUGGGGAGUAUGAUAUAACUCAGGAAAGUGCACUGCAUUAUGAGAAUGUCAACAUCAAAAAGGAAGACAAGAAAAAAUAUGAACCCUACGUCCCACGGUAUCAUGAAGUAAUAGUAUUACAGGAAGAAAAGAAGGGUGUUCCAGGACCUGGACAAUAUGAAAUAAAAAGUCAGUUUCAGAAGGUGGAGAAUAUAACACAGAAUGGAAAUGAAGUUCCACGUGCUCCUUUUCUUUCGCAGUCGAAAAGAUUUGUACAUGUGAAAUCAAUCACCCCAGCUCCGGGUACAUAUAAUGAACCACGCUCAGCUCUUGAAUCCUUGAAGAAACCAUCAGGAAUGAAAAAGAUCCCAUUUGGUCAAACUACAGUUCGGUUCACUCAGGACUCCAGGCUCGAAAAAACACCAGGUCCAGCUUUCUAUAAUAUUCUCAAGUGUAGUAUUGAAAAAGAGAAUUUUAAAAAAGCUUACUUGGAGAGUACAAAGAAAGGAGCAUUUGGAUCUUCAGCUCCUCGACCUCUAUAUGUUUUUAAGAGGGGAGCUUUCUGUACUCCUGGACCAGCUGAUUAUCAGGGCAAAAGGAGCACUGAAGAAUCACAUAAACAACAAAAGCAAUUAUCUGUUUUCUUGUCAUCAACAGAAAGAACUCCAGUAGUUACCAUGAUAUUUCUUCAGUUUCCAGAGUGGCUUCAUUUGGAGUCAGAAAAUCUUCCAUCUCUUGCCAGCCCAGCCAGCCUCCAGGCUAACUGCCAGACUUCCCCUACUUUUAAGACCAAACCCAGGAUAGGUGCAGUGAGUAUGGAAGUUCCACCACCAGGCUCCUAUGAGGUUCAAAAAUCAUUUGAGAAAUCACACAGUAAAAGCCACUACAUGCCUCCCCGAACCACACUGGCUAAAAGAAAGCAUACGUCUUUCCUCAGUGCAACACCUAGAAAAAAUGUACCCAAUACUGACAAGGAUGUACCAGAGGUGUUGAAGAUGACUUCAUGAUGGAGAACUUGACAGUUGCUGCUAUUAAGGUGACCUCUCCUUCAGAGUCUAUUCUGCAACCGCCUAUACUAUAAGCCAAGCACAUCAGACUGCUGUAUCUGGAUGGAACCUGCUAUCUUUUUCAAAAGAGCAUCAAGAACCAGUAUAUUGACUCUGUGUCGUAGUUUGCACCAUUUACUGAUGUACUGUGCUCCUGACAAAAACAGCCACUUCUUGCUUCGUGCAGAAUGUGGUCACUUUUCACACCAUGUCAUGCUUUCUAGCACAGUCAGGUAGCCUAGUGUAUCUUCCUCAAACUGCAGCCUCUGUCCUUCAGGAACCAGAGUGGACUACUUUUCCAAAUUUCCAGAAGUUAUUGUGUCUGCCAAACAAGUCAGCACAUAUUAUUGCUAAACUGAGAGCUGUAUUUGCGAGACAUGGAAUUGUUGAAGAAUUAGUGAGUGAAGAUGUUCCAUUUGCAAUCAGAGACAUGGGUAACUUUGUAAGAUCUUGGGGAAUGAAACUCACUCAGUCUGGUCUUGGAUACUCACUGUUUAAUGGAAUGGCUGAAAGAACCUUUCAGACAAUAAAAUCAGUGUUUCACAAAACUGCUGCAUCAAGUAGAGAUCUUAUCUUAGUGCUUUUGGAGUUGGGAAACACAUCACAGACAGGUAUGGAAUACUGUCCGGGACAGUUGGUGGGGAGGAUGUUGAGAACAACUCUUCUAUCCUUACACAUGCUGCUACCAUCCAAAAUACCUUGGAGGGCUCACACCAGAUGAAAAUUGCUACAGGAACGACAGAAGAAAUAUAGUGACCAGACAGCUCAGCCACUAUCUGUGUUCCAUCCUCACUAUCCAGUAUGCAUGGAAAGAACACAAGUUUGACAACCAGCAAGGGUGGUAGCUACAUAUCCAGAGCCACCAUCAUAUUACAUUGAAACACGUACAGGAGAAAGGUACAAACUUAAUAGAAAGCACUUACUACCUGACCAUUCAGUGCCAAUAACAGAUACACAACAGAUAUCUAAACCAGAAGACUCCCAGGAGCAGCAAGUAACACCUUUCCCAGAAAAUCAGCAAUCAGAAUUGACACCAACAUAUUCUGAGACACAGGUUGCAUCAGUACAGUCAAAGUAAAUUCACAAGAAGUGGUUAUCAGGUGCCCAUGCCAGCAUGAUACCAAAAUUUUUCUGACAGCUUUUUACAGAACUGCAUGCAGAAGCCUACUGAGCCAGUGAUAAAGAUUGAGCUUCAUCAGGUUAAGUGUUAACAACCUGGCUGUGGACUGAGUGUUAUUUAUAUUCUCACUUAUAUUUUGGUAUUGCCCAUAGAUGCUGAUGUUGUUCAAACAUAUAUGAGGAAUCAGUCCAUGUCCCAAAGAGCUUGCAAUCUAAAAAGACAAAAGACAAAAAAGUGUGGGAGAAGCAGAUGCAAUAUGUAAACAAGGUAGUCAGGAUAAUGACUGGCAUCCAUUUUAUUAGUACAAAAUGUUUUAGUUAUAAAGAUAUUUUAACCUUUGGUCAUUUUUUAUUGUGUAUAUUUGUAGAGAGGGAGAGAGAGUUAUGACUAUUUCAUUUAUUAAAAAUAUUUAAUUACCCUUGUCCAUUCCAUUUUCUCCAACUGGUUUCAGGAAGAACUCCUUAGUUAGAUAGAGUCUGUUUAGGCAUCAUUAAGAAACAUAGUUUCAGAAAGUUUUGAUGCUGUGUUAGGCUAAUUUGCUUUAAGCAUUUGGUCAAGGUAAAUGCUAUAAACAUUACAAGAUGAUAGACAAUUUAUUCUGAACAGUUGAAACGGAUAUGCAAACUUUUGUUAAUCUAAUAAUUAAAUUAAGAAGUACUCUGUCACAAGAGGAUAUUAUGUAUAUUAAGUUGGUAGGUCCAACUAAAUUUGAUCUCAUCCUAUGCUUCAGAUAUAUCUAAGGUACUUCUGCAUGACAUGUUGCCUAUCCUUCAGAAGAGCAUGUACUAAAUAAUCUACCUAGAAAAUUAAACCAAUAAAAAUGCCAUGAGUAAAAGUUAUAGUGCUCUAUUUAAAUGCGGAAGAUAUCUCAUGAUUCUGUAAUUACUGAACUGCUGAGUGAAUAGAUGUGAUAUCAGUUCUCAAACUUGUAUUUUAGUCCUCCUGUCUCUGGGAAAAGACUUGCAGGUUCCAAAAGGGGUGAUGUUUAGUAAAGCGGAACACAAACUUUUCGAAUAUGCUUCUCUGUUUAUUGUUGCUGUUUCAUUUAUUAUAUGUUACUACAUAAUAAAAGCUCCUGACGUAUUUUGAUAUGUUGCACACACUGUGAAAUUUCUAACUGACUUGCUCAAAUAACAUCCAGCUGUGUAAUAAAUCAGUGGAGUUCACUGUUCUAACAUAUUUCAAAAUUUCAGAGAGAAUGGUGGAAUGUGAAUAAGGACUCUGAAAAACAGAUGUGAACAAUAAUAUUUCAAAGCUGCAACCUUGCCAUAACUUAAAUUUGAGUGUCAUACAUUCUACUGUUAAAAUCAU